AAGCAUUCUCUCCAGGAUUUAAACCUAGGUCCAUAACUGACACAACCUGAGCCUGCUAUAGCAACAAAGUCUAACCAAUUCUGGUGCACUCUCCUCUAUGAUACAAACCAUUAUAUAGACUUAGACAGU